rnacentral:rRNA from 1 species
CCUACGGGUGGCAGCAGUGGGGAAUAUUGCACAAUGGGGGAAACCCUGAUGCAGCGACGCCGCGUGAGUGAAGAAGCGUUUCGGCGCGUAAAGCUCUGUCAGUGGGGAAGAAAGACGGUUCGCGAGAGCCACGGACGGUACCCGAUCAAGAAGCCCGGGCUAACUACGUGCCAGCAGCCGCGGUACUACGUAGGGGGGAAGCGUUGUCCGGUAUCACUGGGUGUAAAGGGUGCGUAGACGGCGAGACAAGUCUGGAGUGAAAGGCCGGGGCCCAACCCCGGGACUGCUCUUGAAACUGGCUGGCUGGAGUACAGGAGAGGUAAGUGGAAUUCCUAGUGUAGCGGUGAAAUGCGUAGAUAUUAGGAGGAACACCAGUGGCGAAGGCGGCUUACUGGACUGUAACUGACGUUGAGGCUCGAAAGCGUGGGGAGCAAACAGGAUUAGAUACCCGGGUAGUC